GUUGUCCACUGAUGCUUUCUCUCUCUUUCCCUGUGCAGACCAACAGACUGAACUCGAUUCCUUUGAUGUUAGUUUCAGUUCCCGUGCCUCUGGUCCCGCUCCUUCCUGCCAACUCACCAUAUAACCGCCAUCUUGUCCGUUGGAUUCAGUUCUGCUUUUAAUUCAGUCUGUAAAGACCAUUAUUUUCAACUUGCUUGCCAGACAGCUGGUCAUGAAAGCAAAACUAUGAAACACCUGCAGUUGUGUGUGCUGAAGCAAGCACAGGAUGGGAUAAAGAAGAUCACAUAAUGGAAAUCCAGUCUGAGCAGGUCAACAUCUAGUUCCAGCCCCAGUGACAUCACUUCCUCUGACCCAUCUAUAAGCACACCAUCUU